CAUAGGUUUGGUCCCAGCCUUCCUGUUAACUUUCAAUAGACUUAUACAUGCAAGCAUCCACGCCCCGGUGAGUAACGCCCUUCGAAUCACAUAGGACUAAAAGGAGCAGGUAUCAAGCACACACUCUUGUAGCUCACAACGCCUUGCUUAACCACACCCCCACGGGAGACAGCAGUAACAAAAAUUAAGCCAUAAAGAAAGUUUGACUAAGCCAUAUUGACCAGGGUUGGUAAAUCUCGUGCCAGCCACCGCGGUCAUACGAUUGACCCAAGCUAACAGGAGUACGGCGUAAAGCGUGUUAAAGCAUCAUACUAAAUAGAGUUAAAUUUUAAUUAAACUGUAAAAAGCCAUAAUUAUAACAAAAAUAAAUGACGAAAGUAACCCUACAAUAGCUGAUACACCAUAGCUAAGACCCAAACUGGGAUUAGAUACCCCACUAUGCU
rnacentral:rRNA from 1 species